GCUUUUCCACAGAGGUUUUCUGAGGAUCACCUUUGGUGUGACAUUCUGGUUUCUCUGUGUUGUUACAGAACCCACCUGGCAAGGCAUGCAGUUGCAUCACUUUAACUAGGGAAUGAAGAGCACUCCUGAUGAAACCACAGCCUUCCCACUCAGGCUGUCUCGCCUGCAAUGUUUAAUAUUCCACUGUGUUGACGAUGAUCGCGGCUCUACGUGCAAGGACAGGAGGAUCAAAUGCCUGACACUUCCUCAGCUUGAAUUUUGUAUUCUGGACACCAGUCAUGCCCUGGCCCCACAGCAGGAGCAGCAGCCAAGGCAGCUUGUGCAAAAGGCCUGAAAUGCCAUGUUUUACAAGCUGAAAUAUGAAGUGAUAACUUCAGGAAGUUUUUUCAUGCUUUGGAUUAGUGACUGAGGGAGGAAGCAAGUGCAUGGUUCCAGAAUGAGUGAAUUAUUUAAGCCAGCAGUCCAGAAAUGCAAAGGAGGGAUGUCAGGUCUCUGGAAGCAGCUAAACUGGACUGUAUUCCCUUGUCAUCAACAACAGCAGUGUGGGUGUUCUGAAUGCUACCAAGUUCUGGGUUUGACAUGAAAUUGUGCAUCACCAGAAAAAAACAUCUGUUCAAAUUUUCUUCACCAACACUUUUGUAAUUUAGCAACUUGCCAGUUGCAUAAUAAAAUCAAACUGGGCAUGUUGCCUUA